UACGGAGGGUGCAAGCGUUAUCCGGAUUCACUGGGUUUAAAGGGUGCGUAGGCGGGCAUGUAAGUCAGUGGUGAAAUCUCAGAGCUUAACUCUGAAACUGCCAUUGAUACUAUGUGUCUUGAAUUUUCCUGGAGGUUAGCGGAAUAUGUCAUGUAGCGGUGAAAUGCUUAGAUAUGACAUAGAACACCGAUUGCGAAGGCAGCUGACUACGGGUAGAUUGACGCUGAGGCACGAAAGCGUGGGGAGUCAAACAGGA
rnacentral:rRNA from 1 species